UAAUUAUUGUGUAAAGAGGAGUUGCGCGAACAACUCCCCUACAGCACCGUUUACGACGGUGGCAAGUUUUAUAUUAUUUUAGU
rnacentral:sRNA from 1 species